GAACGUCGUGAGACAGUUCGGUCCCUAUCCGUCGUGGGCGUAGGAAAUUUGAGAGGAGCUGUCCUUAGUACGAGAGGACCGGGAUGGACAUACCUCUGGUGUACCAGUUGUCGUGCCAACGGCAUAGCUGGGUAGCUAUGUAUGGACGGGAUAAGUGCUGAAAGCAUCUAAGCAUGAAGCCCCCCUCAAGAUGAGAUUUCCCAACUUCGGUUAUAAGAUCCCUCAGAGAUGAUGA
rnacentral:rRNA from 1 species